AACGAACGCUGGCGGCAUGCCUAACACAUGCAAGUCGAACGAGACCUUCGGGUCUAGUGGCGCAUGGGUUCGUAACGCGUGGGAACCUGCCCUUAGGUUCGGAAUAACUCUCCGACAGGGGUGCCAAUACCGGAUAAUGUCUUCGGACCAAAGAUUUUUUGCCUUUGGAUGGGCCCGCGUUGGAUUAGCUAGUUGGUAGGGUAAAAGCCUACCAAGGCGACGAUCCAUAGCUGGUUUGAUAGGAUGAUCAGCCACACUGGGAGUGAGACACGGCCCAGACUCCUACGGGAGGCAGCAGUGGGGAAUAUUGGACAAUGGGCGAGAGCCUGAUCCAGCAAUGCCGCGUGAAUGAUGAAGGCCUUAGGAUUGUAAAGCUCUUUUACACGGGAUGAUAAUGACAGUACCGGAAGAAUAAGCGCCGGCUAACCCCGUG
rnacentral:rRNA from 1 species